AUCUUCAACGAGGAAUUUCUAGAAAGUGAGAGUCAUCAGCUCCUGUUGACUACAUCCUAGCCCUUUGUACACACCACCCAUCAUUCUACCAAUUGAAUGAUUUGGUGAAGUGCUUAGAUCGUGGUGACACAAGUGGUCUCUUGCCCGUGACUUUGCGAAAAGUCUGCUGAACAUUAUAAUUUAGAAGAAGAGAAGUCGUAACAAGGUUUCCGUAGGUGAACAUGCAGAAGGAUCAUUGUUGUUGCAUCCUGGCCCGGCCAGCAGAUGUAUCAGCAAAUGGUACAUUGAGUGAUGCGUACUUGGGCAGCUUGUGCCACCGCGCACGCUGGCAUGCUGCAUGUGGGAGGUUGCGUUGCGUGCCCGGCGGGCUGGCGGCGGAUGUGACCGACCUUUCUUGGUGUGGCCCGUGCCAAGGAUCACAAAUGAGCACGCACCUUUCUAUAUUUAAAGGGUUUACUGGGAUGUGCCUCGGCUGGAUGUUGCCGUUCUGCUGUGCUCCACAUGCUCCACAUGCUCUCACGUGAAAGUGGGGGCCAGCAGUGCACCUCGGCUGGAUGUUGUCGUUCUGCUGCUUGACUUAGGGUGCGGACUGUUACAGGUUGCGCCGGCAGUGUAAACCUAGGCGAAGUAUUCAUUCAUGGAGAUGAUGUCAACAACAAUCAGGGGAUGCAGUACAUGCCGUCUCGGCGUGCCCCUAGUGGGGCACCCACGUGCUCUAGGUAACAGCUAGCGGGCCCCCCAUAUGGUGUGUCUUGAAACACAGACAAGGAGUCCGACAUGCGUGCAAGUCAACAGGUGGAGAAACCCGUGAGGUGCAAGCAAAUUGACUGGUGGGAUCCCCCCCAAGGGGUGCACCAUCGGCCAACCCCGAUCUUUUGAGAAAGGUUCAAGUGGAGCAUGGACAUUGGAACUUGAAAGAUGGUGAACUAUGUCUAAGCAAGUGAAGCCAGAGGAAACUCUGGUGGAGGCUCGCAGUGAUACUAACGUGCAAAUUGUUUGUCUGACUUGGGUAUAGGGGUGAAAGACUAAUCAAACCAUCUAGUACCUAGUUCCCUCUGAAGUUUCCCUCAGGAUAGUUGGAGCUCAUCGUCGAGUUUUAUCAAGUAAAGCCAAUUAUUAGAGGCCUUAAGGACUCGAUGCCCUCGACCUAUUCUCAAACUUUAAAUAGGUAGGACUGGUCCAGCUUCUUCGAUGAGCCACAAGCAAAAUCGAGAGCUCCAAGUGGGCCAUUUUUUGUAAGCAGAAUUGGCGAUGCGGGAUGAACAUGAAGCCGGGUUAUGGUGUCAGACUACACGUUAACCUACAACCCACAAAGGUUGUUGAUCGAUUAAGAUAGUAAGACGGUGGUCAUGGAAGUCAAAAUCUACUAAAGAGUGUAUAACAACUCACUUGUUGAAUCAACUAGCCCCGAAAAUAGAUGGCACUAAAGUGCAUGACCCACACCCGACCAUCAGAGCGAGGGUAGGCCCCGAUGAGUAGGAGGGCAUGGCGGCCACUGCGAAGCCUGAGGCGUAAGCCCAAGUAGAGCAGUCGUCAAUGCAGAUCUCAGUGGUAGUAGCAAAUAUUCAAAUGAGAACUUUGAAGGCCGAAGAGGGGAAAGGUUCCAUGUGAAUGGCACUUGCACAUGGGUUAGUUGAUCUAAGGGUCGGGGAAAGCCCAACAGACAGCACGAUCCAUGCACAAGCUGAAAGGGGAUCGGGUCAAAAUUCUCGAACCGGGACGUGGCACCUGACGGCGACACUAGUGGGGCCCUAGAAAUGGCUCAACUAGAGGUAGGGUCCAACGGCCAGAAGAGCACCGCACAUUGCACAACAUCCAGUGUGCACCCGACGGCCCUUGAAAAUCUAGAGGACCGAGUGCCGCCACACCUUGUUGUACUCAUAACCGCUUCAGGUCUCCAAGUUGAACAGCCUUUGGUUGACAGACGAAUGUAGGCAAGAGAAGUCCACAAAAUGGAUAUGUAACCUCGGGAAAAGGAUUAGCUCUGAGGGUUGGGUCCAGAGGUCCCAGUCCCAAACCCAUUGGCUGCCGACAAACUGCUCGAGCUGCUUGCACAGCAAGAGCGGGUUGCUGCAUGCUGGCUGGGAGCAGCCACUUCUGCCCCACGCCUCAAGCAUGGGUGGGCGGCAAGGGCAGGGGCCUUCCCUAAGCGUUGAAUAGUUAGCUUAGAACUAGCAUGGACAAGAGAAAUCUAAUUUUUUAGUUAAAACGAAGCAUUGUGACAGUCCCUGUAGAUGCUCACGUAAUGUGAUUUCUACCUAGUGCUCUGAAUGUCAAAGUGAAGAGAUUCAACCAAGCGCGGUGAUAAGUUUUCAUUAUCAUGAGUUAAUAAUUAGUAAAUAAUAUAGUUUUAGCCUUAACUCAUGAUAAAUAGACUUAUAUUUGUGUUAAAGUGUGAAAAUAAUUUUUAGUUGAUUAACGAGAAUUUUUGGCUAAUUAUGUGAUUUUCUACGAAUUUAUAUAAUUUUUAUAGUCUUAUUUUUGAAGUAAAUGAAGAAAAAGAAAUAAAAAUAAAAAUAUAGCAAAAUGGGGGGGACUUGCCGACCAAUCGGGCCCACAAGCGAGUCAAAAGCGUAGUUAGAGAGGAGCCACAAGUAGGGGCUCGAGCGACUAGGACUGAUGGGUGCACGUGUGCACCACUCUCUUUCAUAUCACUGGUGGCUAGCCAGUUGUAGGAUAAGGAGUGAUUGUACACACGGGAGAAAGAGACUCAUUACUUGCAAAUAUAAUAUUACUAUAUAUUCAUCUCACACUUCGGCACACAAGCGAUGUAGGACUAAACCCACAUCACACCUUCCUCUGAAAGACUUUUGAUGAUUUUAAUACCAAAAUAUCCCUUAUUUAUAAUAGAGAUAUAUCAUGAUGAUGUCAUUUGAUAAGAGCAUUAAAGUACUCAUUUCAAUCUCUCUCAUGUAGGCGGGCAACCGGCGCGAGUUCGAAUCCUCUUAGAGUCAAAACUCGUAUUUUUAUCUGAUUAUCGUGACUUUUCUAAUCACCAAUAAAAGAUUAAGCUAUAAGAAUCACUAGAUCAUCGGCAAAAAUCUCGUCAACGCGAUUCGUAGAUCAUUGUUACUAAAAUUACUGAACGAUUCGUAAUAAAAAGAUUGUGAACCCAUCGAGUAAAUCAUCUUUAAUUAAUUGACGAACAAGGCGUCGUCGGGGAAGAAGAUGAUCUACCGGGAGACGAUUGUCACCUCCUCAGAGCGUACUGGAUGUAAUGAAGAGCCUCCUCUUGCUGCGCGAACUUGAGGAUAAAGUUUCCUGACACGCGCCCCACCUCCAUCCAGCUUCUCUUUGUCGGGUGACAGUCGCCAAAGAGCCACAAAGUCGCCGUUUUUCCACUCGGCUGGGUGACAGCCGCCAAAGACGAUUUGAUGACCCAUUUCGUUGAUCUCUAGACUUCGCAAGGAGAUCUAGAGAUUGCCAUGUCGUCCUUGUCCAAGGAGAGCCUUCGAGGCUAUGGACACUUCGACGCCGGAACUCUGUUUCUUGCUUCAACUUAAUUUCUGCUUUUUUUUAGUAAUAAUUUGUGUGAUUUAAAUUACCAAGCUAUACUUCAUUCAAUCACGAUUCUUUCGACUUUUACAAAUCUUAAUUUGUUCAAUUAAAUAUAUAUGUAAUCACUUAUAUAAGAAUCAUCGGGCAGAACUUUAUUUUUACUCGAUUCGCAUUCGUCGGGCACUAACGUCAUCCUGACAUCUGCUGGAUGAUGUAUGUACCCUUAUUUCCCUUUUUUGUGAAUUUUAAUAUAUAUUAUUUUUUUUUUGCUAGUAUAAAAUUCAUAGAAAAUCGUAUUCUUUGAGAAUUUUUUUGAAUAAUUACCUGAUAUUAUAUUAUAUCCCUAUGAUCGACUUGAAAAAUUACCAUUAUUUGUGGAAGUUUUUAUUGAUUAUAAUUGAUAUAUUUAUUCAGAAAUACUUCUAAAUAUCUAAAAAUUAAUAUUUUCUAGUUUAUAAAUUUUAAAUUUAUAUGAUUUACUAUACAACGACUAAGUCACGUCACACAGGUAAAUGAUGGGAGUAACUAUGACUCUCUUAUGGUAGUCAAAUGCCUCGUCAUCUAAUUAGUGACGCAUAUGAAUGGAUUAAUGAGAUUUCCACUGUCGCUAUCUAAAAUGCUAAAGCAUAUGACUAUUAACAUGUGUAAGCACAUGACUACUAGUAGGAUGAACUUAUUUCCUAAAAGCACAAAAACCAUUUGUGGUUUAGGGUUCUUUCUCUUUUCCAAUGUUCUAUCUAAAUCUAGCAACCUCUCCAUUAUCUUCCUCUUAUUUUGUUAUCUUGAUGGGUUGGUUUUAGGUUGU
rnacentral:rRNA from 1 species